rnacentral:rRNA from 1 species
AUGCAUAGAACAACUACCGUCGUCGACGACCUGGGUAGCAUAAAUGCCAAGUACCCCUUCGAGUUGACGAGACCGGCAAGUUCGAAGACCCCAAGUACCUCUUCGAAACGACCGAGUACCACUAUCGUCGACCCUCGAAGACCCCGUGGACGUCAAGUUCCGUGUCGUGACCCCGAACCUUUACGAAAAUGUUGUACGACUACUUCCGUGGCCGAAGACCCGUAUACAACUACCGUCGCCGUGUACAACUACCUCCACUACGAACAUCCCAAGAAUGUCUACUUCCUCUACUUUGCAUCGAACGAGAACCGUCCCGUUUGCACGCUUCAAAGGUAUUAUCCCGAGACGACCACCCGUGAACGAAUGCAUGUGUUGUAUGAGAUGCAUGUUUGGAUGUUGGAUUCUCCCGUGAACGUUAGUUGUUUUCCCUCGCUUGGCACCGUCGUCGAACCGUGGGAACCCGGUAUUCGGGACCACCCCACCAUCCUUGCAUGA